CCUACGGGUGGCUGCAGUGAGGAAUAUUGGUCAAUGGGCGCGAGCCUGAACCAGCCAAGUAGCGUGAAGGAUGACGGCCCUACGGUUUGUAAACUUCUUUUAUAAAGGAAUAAAGUUAUGCACGUGUGCCUUUUUGUAUGUACUUUAUGAAUAAGCAUCGGCUAACUCCGUGCCAGCAGCCGCGGUAAUACGGAGGAUCCGAGCGUUAUCCGGAUUUAUUGGGUUUAAAGGGUGCGUAGAUUGGUUGUUAAGUCAGUGGUGAAAGUUUGCGGCUCAACCGUAAAAUUGCAAUUGAUACUGGAAGACUUGAGUGUAGUUGAGGUAGGCGGAAUGCGUGGUGUAGCGGUGAAAUGCAUAGAUAUCACGCAGAACUCCGAUUGCGAAGGCAGCUUACUAAGCCACAACUGACACUGAUGCACGAAAGUGUGGGUAUCAAACAGGAUUAGAUACCCCAGUAGUC
rnacentral:rRNA from 1 species